UACAGAGGUGGCAAGCGUUGUUCGGAAUUACUGGGCGUAAAGGGCGCGUAGGCGGCCAUCUAAGUCAGACGUGAAAUCCCCCGGCUUAACCUGGGAACUGCGUCUGAUACUGGACGGCUUGAGUAUGGGAGAGGGAUGUAGAAUUCCAGGUGUAGCGGUGAAAUUCGUAGAUAUUCGGAAGAACACCAGUGGCGAAGGCGGCUCACUGGUCCGGUACUGACGCUGAGGUGCGAAAGCGUGGGGAGCAAACAGG
rnacentral:rRNA from 1 species